rnacentral:tRNA from 1 species
GGGGGAUGGGACUGCUUGGAGUGGUCACUACACUUGCAAUGUAGUUAGCAGAUGAGUUCGAAUCUCAUAUCCUCCACCA